GUAACACGUGGGUAACCUGCCUGUAAGACUGGGAUAACUCCGGGAAACCGGAGCUAAUACCGGAUAGUUCCUUGAACCGCAUGGUUCAAGGAUGAAAGACGGUUUCGGCUGUCACUUACAGAUGGACCCGCGGCGCAUUAGCUAGUUGGUGAGGUAACGGCUCACCAAGGCGACGAUGCGUAGCCGACCUGAGAGGGUGAUCGGCCACACUGGGACUGAGACACGGCCCAGACUCCUACGGGAGGCAGCAGUAGGGAAUCUUCCGCAAUGGACGAAAGUCUGACGGAGCAACGCCGCGUGAGUGAUGAAGGUUUUCGGAUCGUAAAGCUCUGUUGUUAGGGAAGAACAAGUGCAAGAGUAACUGCUUGCACCUUGACGGUACCUAACCAGAAAGCCACGGCUAACUACGUGCCAGCAGCCGCGGUAAUACGUAGGUGGCAAGCGUUGUCCGGAAUUAUUGGGCGUAAAGGGCUCGCAGGCGGUUUCUUAAGUCUGAUGUGAAAGCCCCCGGCUCAACCGGGGAGGGUCAUUGGAAACUGGGAAACUUGAGUGCAGAAGAGGAGAGUGGAAUUCCACGUGUAGCGGUGAAAUGCGUAGAGAUGUGGAGGAACACCAGUGGCGAAGGCGACUCUCUGGUCUGUA
rnacentral:rRNA from 1 species